UACGAGGGGGGCUAGUGUUGUUCGGAAUCACUGGGCGUAAAGGGAGCGUAGGCGGGCGUUUAAGUUAGGUGUUUAAUCCCGGGGCCCAACCCCGGACCGGCACCUAAAACUGGACGUCUUGAAUAGUGGAGAGGUCGGUGGAAUUGGAGGUGUAGCGGUGGAAUGCGUAAAGAUCUCCAAGAACACCCGUUGCGAAGGCGGCCGACUGGACACAUAUUGACGCUGAGGCUCGAAAGCAUGGGGAGCAAACAGG
rnacentral:rRNA from 1 species